UGCGAUCGACCAGUUGAUUAUUUGUGUGCAAAUGGUAUGUUCCACGGGUAUAAAAGGGGAUGAGAUUGACAGGCAACCAAGCGCACGUCACCAAACGCGUCAUCUGGGAUUUCGGAAGUGAUGUAACUUCCUGUGGGUCGUGUUUAUGUCUACGAGUGUGCGGCUGAGGAAUAUUGUGGAUGUGUCGAGUGACACUUUGUCAGCUUUUCACUGAUACACGUCAAGUGUGCGGAGCGGUGUGAGCCCUAUUUGGCAGAAUUGGGGUACCAGUGCGAGCCAGUGUCUGCGGUGUGUGGUGGUGGGACAGCUGUCAACUUGCAGUGAUCACAAUUUGGUGUGUGGUGUUGUGAGAGAACACGAGUGCUUGCUGUGUUUAACUAAAAGGCAGUACAAAUUCCCCCAGUUCUGAAGUGGUAAAACAAGUGUGCAUGGAUGAAUGAUGUCGUGACUUAUUGUACUCUUUUUAACUUUUUGCAUAUUAAAAUGAAUUAUGUAUUUUCCAUGUGUUUUGAAUAAAUUGUUUCAAAUAUU